GAAGUGUAGGACAGAAUUUUAUAUGUUGCAUUAUAAAAUACUGUACCUACAUUACG
rnacentral:precursor_RNA from 1 species